GAUGAACGCUAGCGGGAGGCCUAAUACAUGCAAGUCGAGCGGUAGAGUGACUUCGGUUGCUUGAGAGCGGCGCACGGGUGAGUAACGCGUACAUGACCUACCUUUAAGACUGGGAUAGCCCUGGGAAACUGGGAUUAAUACCGGAUGUGAUAAAUACGUAUAGAGAUGUAUUAUUAAAGUUGAGGCGCUUAGAGAUGGAUGUGCGUCUGAUUAGCUAGUUGGUAGGUAACGGCCUACAAGGCGACGAUCAGUAGGGGGCGUGAGAGCGUGGCCCCCCACACGGGUACUGAGACACGGACCCGACUCCUACGGGAGGCAGCAGUAAGGAAUAUUGGUCAAUGGACGGAAGUCUGAACCAGCCAUCCCGCGUGCAGGAUGACUGCCCUAUGGGUUGUAAACUGCUUUUAGCAGAGACGAAACGCCUU
rnacentral:rRNA from 1 species